ensembl:lncRNA
ACAAGAGCGCCGCAGAGCAGCCCUGCGGAGGGCUUGUGUGGAGAGGCUGUGCUCAGAGAAGAAAUUCAAACUGGCAGUAAACUGUUACAAAAAUGGAGACAAGGUUGAGUUAGACAAUUCACUGGAUAACUUAUGUGAGAAAUAAACCAUAGGAUUUCAAUCCAAACUGGAACCAGAGUAUGUGAAACGGAAAAUCUCACGCAUGGACCCUCAGGAAAAUGAAACUUAAUAACAGGAAUAAUGAUUUCCCCUAGAAGCCUGAUUUACAGAAGAAUGGAAACUUAUUUUCUGACCAAUAAACAUGCGCCACGAGUCUCUCCUCAUACUUAAGCCAAUGGACUUACUGCUUGGACUUUGGCUGGAUGACCUGCUCUUUAUAUACCUUUUCCAUAAAUACAGUC